rnacentral:misc_RNA from 1 species
GUGUUGUGUUGUGAUAAAAGCCAAACUCAAACCACAAAAUCAACGACCUUCGAUUGUUGACAUGGUGGUGGUCGUAUAAUAAAAAAAAGCGUGGUAUUAAUCCUUGUUUUGUAGGUAGUAUUUGAUAAUAAAUAAUAUAAAAUGCCUUCCAAUAAAAGAAUAGCCUUCUGGGUAUCCGAGAAGAAAUUACAGAAGCUAAAUUGGCAGGAACUAGAGACAAUAAGUAAAAAAUUUGGUUUUGAGGUGUUCAAAUUGAGUCUGAAAAAAAGUUUGGAAUCACAAGGACCUUUCUGUGUGUUAGUACAUAAAAUGACGGAUAUUAUUGCAUCUGCAAAUAUGGGUGAUAUUAGGUGUGGUAAUCUUAUUCAAGAAGUUGAAAAUUAUAUUUCUCAAAAUCCAUCUCUGGUUGUGAUAGAUCCAAUAGCAAAUGUCAGAAAAUUAAUUGAUAGGUGUAACUGCUAUAGUAUUAUUCAUUCCACUAAUUUAUCUACCUAUAAUGUAUUUACACCAAAUUUUUGUACAUUAAGGACAGGUGAUAAAGAGUCACUGAAGCAACAAUUAAAAAUGGCCAAAGUAACAUAUCCUUUCAUUUGUAAACCUAUGUUAGGACAUGGAUCAAAAAAGGCACAUGAAAUGUCGAUAAUCUUUAACGAGAAAUAUUUAACAGGGAUUAAGACACCCUGUGUAGCACAAAGUUUUAUAAACCACGACGCAGUUUUAUUUAAAAUAUAUAUAGCAGGCGACAAGCACUAUUACGUCGAGAGGCCUUCGUUAAAAAAUUUCAAAGCUUCGGAGAGGGAGACCAUAUAUUUCGAUACGAGUGAUGUCUCCAAGUCUGAUUCGAAAAGUAGGCUUUGUGUGUUAGAUCCUGAAGAUAUUUUAACGGAAAAACCCAAACCAGAUGAAGAAAUUAUAGCCAUAAUAGCUGCUACUCUAACAAAAGCCUUCGGAAUGGAUCUGUUAGGAGCUGAUGUAGUUAUUGAAAAGUCUACUAGAAAAUAUGCAAUUAUAGACGUUAAUGCAUAUCCAGGUCCCAUUUACGGAUUCCCGGAAAAAAAUUGCGCACAUGGCUUUCUGUGACAACUACUGGUCUACUGGACUGUUUCGAGCAGAGGUGGACAAGGUACGAGUGGCCUUGAAGAUUACUUAUCCGAAACACAUAGGCACCGAAAGAAGAACGAUUUCCGAAGUAGAAAUCGAAAUAAAAUUGUGGCAACGAGUUGAUAAACUAGCCAAGAGGAUAAGCUAAACGAUACUUCGAUCCAGAUCUGGCCUUGAGUACCAAAAAGCACUGU